AGUGGCGAACGGGUGAGUAAUGCAUCGGAACGUGCCCAGUCGUGGGGGAUAACGCAGCGAAAGCUGCGCUAAUACCGCAUACGAUCUAUGGAUGAAAGCGGGGGACCGUAAGGCCUCGCGCGAUUGGAGCGGCCGAUGUCAGAUUAGGUAGUUGGUGGGGUGAAGGCUCACCAAGCCAACGAUCUGUAGCUGGUCUGAGAGGACGACCAGCCACACUGGGACUGAGACACGGCCCAGACUCCUACGGGAGGCAGCAGUGGGGAAUUUUGGACAAUGGGCGCAAGCCUGAUCCAGCAAUGCCGCGUGCAGGAAGAAGGCCUUCGGGUUGUAAACUGCUUUUGUACGGAACGAAACGGCUCUGGUUAAUACCUGGGGCUAAUGACGGUACCGUAAGAAUAAGCACCGGCUAACUACGUGCCAGCAGCCGCGGUAAUACGUAGGGUGCAAGCGUUAAUCGGAAUUACUGGGCGUAAAGCGUGCGCAGGCGGUUUUGUAAGACAGGCGUGAAAUCCCCGGGCUCAACCUGGGAAUGGCGCUUGUGACUGCAAAGCUGGAGUGCGGCAGAGGGGGAUGGAAUUCCGCGUGUAGCAGUGAAAUGCGUAGAUAUGCGGAGGAACACCGAUGGCGAAGGCAAUCCCCUGGGCCUGCACUGACGCUCAUGCACGAAAGCGUGGGGAGCAAACAGAAUUAGAUACCCUGG
rnacentral:rRNA from 1 species